UGGGGAAUAUUGCACAAUGGGCGCAAGCCUGAUGCAGCCAUGCCGCGUGUAUGAAGAAGGCCUUCGGGUUGUAAAGUACUUUCAGCGAGGAGGAAGGCGUUGUGGUUAAUAACCGCAGCGAUUGACGUUACUCGCAGAAGAAGCACCGGCUAACUCCGUGCCAGCAGCCGCGGUAAUACGGAGGGGGCAAGCGUUAAUCGGAAUUACUGGGCGUAAAGCGCACGCAGGCGGUCUGUCAAGUCGGAUGUGAAAUCCCCGGGCUCAACCUGGGAACUGCAUUCGAAACUGGCAGGCUAGAGUCUUGUAGAGGGGGGUAGAAUUCCAGGUGUAGCGGUGAAAUGCGUAGAGAUCUGGAGGAAUACCGGUGGCGAAGGCGGCCCCCUGGACAAAGACUGACGCUCAGGUGCGAAAGCGUGGGGAGCAAACA
rnacentral:rRNA from 1 species